CGGGGGAGCAAGCGUUGUUCGGAUUUACUGGGCGUAAAGGGCGCGUAGGCGGCCACUGCAAGUCGGUUGUGAAAUCUCCGGGCUUAACCCGGAAAGGUCAAUCGAUACUGCAGGGCUAGAGUGCAGAAGGGGCAACUGGAACUCUCGGUGUAGCGGUGAAAUGCGUAGAUAUCGAGAGGAACACCUGCGGCGAAGGCGGGUUGCUGGGCUGACACUGACGCUGACAGCGCGAAAGCUAGGGGAGCGAACGGGAUUAGAUACCCCGGUAGUCCUAGCCUUAAACGAUGAAUGCUUGGUGUCUGGGGUUUUAUAGUCCCCGGGUGCCGUCGCUAACGCUUUAAGCAUUCCGCCUGGGGAGUACGGUCGCAAGACUG
rnacentral:rRNA from 1 species